CAUUAAUAUCAAUCUAAUGACAUUCCAUAGGAAUAAAAAUCCAAUGGGAUCCAGUUCUUAGCAGUCUCAGCCUAGUCAGAAGUACAAAGUCAAAUACCAUUUGCACAUCACCAAGAGGUACAAUCUGAUGAAUAACAGGAUAUCUGAUCUAAAAGCUUGCCAGGUUAUACAAGCAGUUUGAGUAUCACCAGGGCAGAUCAAGAAGAAAUAUGAAGGCCAGGUUCAUAACAAGCAGUUUCUUCAUUGCAAUUACAGAUUUAAAAACUUGAAUGAA